GUAAUCUCUGGUAGGCGGGAUUGUUUGAAGAGUAUCAUGUUCAUUAUUUAAUUUUGUUAUUUGACAUUGCAUGAUGUUCAUCCUGAGGUGGACAUUAAAAGAAGUGCAGCAAAAGCACAGCAUUCCAGACAGAGAAGAUGCUGAUUUGGGGGCAGAACAGCAGCUGGAUAUUUUGCUCCUCCUCCUCUCUGCUGGGGAUGGUGAAGGAGAGGAGCAAGAAAACAGACCAGGCAUAUUAAGGGGACCAGAGGUGACCCGUUUUAUAUGCAGUUGUUUCACAGUUUGCUGCCAGGUUCCAGGAACCGAAGUGUGGAGAAAGACACGUGCUUGUGAAGAAAUCCUUUCACUGAGCACUGAUGCAUCAGCUCAAACCUGGUCUCUGGGAAAACUGCAUGGAAACGCUUGUACUCUGCAGAAAGCCUGGAAGAGGAGCACAGGAUGCCUGCAAGAUGCUUCUCCGCUUCUUCCAACUCUGGACACCAACUCAGGGCCAGGAUUAGUGUCCCUGAAAUUAUACUCCUAGAGACAAUUAGAAAGCCUCAUCUGCAUUGUUUUGCCCCACGUAAUCACCGGUCAGGUUCCUUUCUCCAGCAGAGUUAAACAACAUAAUUUGAACUGGUUCUCCAUGUUUCCUGCACUUACACACAAUGUUUCUGGUCCACUUGGAGAAGAUGAAGUUCAACAAAUGGUCAGUUAAACUGACUUCAAAAAGUACAGCUGGUGGGAACAGGAAUGAUAAGAAAAGGCUUUAGUGGAGAUAGUACACCAGGGAAUCCCAGAUAAUUCAGAUGCUGGUGGAAGUAGAGAUGACUGCUACAAUUAUAUCUACCCUACUGCAGUGCAGAAAUAGGUGACCAAGGGUCGUCAGUUCCAAAAGUCUCUUCCAUUUUGUCCUGACUUCUGAGUCUCACCCCUUUUUCCGUGUCUUUAAUGAAUGUGCACACACACAUUUCAUUACAUACGUGGUGUGCAUGCCAUUUCCCCAUGCUUGUAACACCCUGUCAGUCAUGUGGGUCAUCCAUCAGCAGACACUGGAGUUUGUAGAGACUGUUGGGCCAAGAAAACUAUCCCGAAUCGUUCAUGAUGCUAACGUGAAGCUGCAGCAUUAACAAACUCCCUGGGGUGACAUCCCCAGCCUUCAAGGGAAUCCAUGCUCUCUUCUACCUUCAUUAGCCUUAUAUAAUGUUGCUCAGCUGCAGCUAGUGUGACACUGGCUCCUUUGUGUGACUCUAAGGCUUUUGUGAACCAGCCAAAAUGCAAUGCUAAACCAAUCAGGAUAACAAGCUGCUGACUGUUCAUACGCUGCUUCCGAAAGCAAGAUUAUAUACUAUUGCAUGCAUUAUUGUCUGUUUGUGGCUGGGCUAAGUCAGAGACAAGGUGGGCUCAUCCUAGGGCAGAUUUCCUGGUCUGCUGGUUCUACAGCACUGGAUACUGGGCUCUGUAGGCAGUCAAUGGACAAACUCCACUUGCUGGCCAACAACUUUAUAACUGGUGGAUGGUGGGAGCCAGUUACUGCGGUACUUGUGUCUCUUUACUGAUGUUGCCUGGUGCAAGCAGUGAGAACCAACAUUUUUGGUGGGAUAUUGUGGAAAUGGGAAGAAGGAGCUGUGUUGUGACUCAGAGGCUCCAUUUUUCCAAGCAAGAUGCUCUUGUGAGAUUUGAAGGUUUCUUUCUCUUGUCAGAAAUUUCCUCCACCACUGUGGAACCAGAAGGGUGGAUCCAGGAGCCUGGGAAACACUUCUGCUUGGACAGUCAGGAUGAACCUGGCCUGACGCAGUUAGAGCUAUAGGAAGGGCUGGGCUUUUUUUUGCCCCUCACACAAAAAUAAAACAGAAAGAAAGAAAAAAGAAAAAAACCCU
rnacentral:lncRNA from 14 species